rnacentral:rRNA from 1 species
GACGAACGCUGGCGGCGUGCUUAACACAUGCAAGUCGAACGGAAAGGCCCUGCUUUUGUGGGGUGCUCGAGUGGCGAACGGGUGAGUAACACGUGAGUAACCUGCCCUUGACUUUGGGAUAACUUCAGGAAACUGGGGCUAAUACCGGAUAGGAGCUCCUGCUGCAUGGUGGGGGUUGGAAAGUUUCGGCGGUUGGGGAUGGACUCGCGGCUUAUCAGCUUGUUGGUGGGGUAGUGGCUUACCAAGGCUUUGACGGGUAGCCGGCCUGAGAGGGUGACCGGCCACAUUGGGACUGAGAGACGGCCCAGACUCCUACGGGAGGCAGCAGUGGGGAAUAUUGCAGAAUGGGCGGAAGCCAGAUGCAGCAACGCCGCGUGCGGGAUGACGGCCUUCGGGUUGUAAACCGCUUUCGCCUGUGACGAAGCGUGAGUGACGGUAAUGGGUAAAGAAGCACCGGCUAACUACGUG